UACGGAGGGUGCGAGCGUUGUCCGGAAUCAUUGGGCGUAAAGGGCGCGUAGGUGGCCCGGUCAGUUCGUGGUGAAAGCGCGGGGCUCAACCCCGAGCCUGCAGUGGAUACGGGCAGACUAGAGGUAGGUAGGGGAGAAUGGAAUUCCCGGUGUAGCGGUGAAAUGCGCAGAUAUCGGGAGGAACACCGGUGGCGAAGGCGGUUCUCUGGGCCUUACCUGACGCUGAGGAGCGAAAGCGUGGGGGAGCGAACAGG
rnacentral:rRNA from 1 species